rnacentral:lncRNA from 1 species
AACUUUUCACUAUACUCUCCCCAACUUUAGAUUCCAAAACCAAAUUUAUUCAAUAAUGCUCCCUACUUAGACAUAAGCAAAAGGCAAAAUUUUGCAAACAACUCGGUUUGAGGUUCCAACUGAUACGAAAGGAAUUAGGAUUCAUUUAUUCCACAAUUUUCAAUUGAUUUUACAAUGAUCAAUCAAAUGAAUCCUAAAAUAAGCUCAAAGGGGUUUAACUAAGGAUUAUUCCUCACAAGGUUAGUUGAUUCAAACUUUUUG